GAUGAACGCUGGCGGCGUGCCUAAUACAUGCAAGUCGAGCGAACGGACGAGGAGCUUGCUUCUCUGACGUUAGCGGCGGACGGGUGAGUAACACGUGGAUAACCUACCUAUAAGACUGGGAUAACUUCGGGAAACCGGAGCUAAUACCGGAUAAUAUUUUGAACCGCAUGGUUCAAUAGUGAAAGACGGUUUUGCUGUCACUUAUAGAUGGAUCCGCGCUGCAUUAGCUAGUUGGUAAGGUAACGGCUUACCAAGGCAACGAUGCGUAGCCGACCUGAGAGGGUGAUCGGCCACACUGGAACUGAGACACGGUCCAGACUCCUACGGGAGGCAGCAGUAGGGAAUCUUCCGCAAUGGGCGAAAGCCUGACGGAGCAACGCCGCGUGAGUGAUGAAGGUCUUCGGAUCGUAAAACUCUGUUAUUAGGGAAGAACAAAUGUGUAAGUAACUAUGCACGUCUUGACGGUACCUAAUCAGAAAGCCACGGCUAACUACGUG
rnacentral:rRNA from 1 species